ACAUCUGUUCAUCUGUUGGUUUUUGUUCAGGCUGCAGGGAUCAUUUCUCACUGUGGGGAGCAGAAACCCAACAGGAGCAGUAGUAGGUGGCUGAAUGAUCGAGUUUAACUUGCUUAAUUUCUAACUCCCAGCCUUUAUUUGUAUUUACAGAAGAGAAGUCACUGAUCUGAGGAUGAGAUGAGUAACUUCUCUCUAUGUUACCGUUACUCCGAUCAAUAUCAAAAAUAACUUUGAAUGUUUCUGUUUCUUUUUUCUGGUACCAGUAUAUCCAGUCACGAUCGCACUGCUGAGUCCCUCCGCAGCUGAAGGAGACACUUUCUCCAACUCUCCUGGUCAAUGUUAAAUCAUCCUGAAUCAGCUGUUCUGCUGCCAUGGUAACCAGUGCUGUAGAGACACAGACAUAUAGAUGAAGGUUAGUGUGACAGUGUUUGUUACAGGUUGACUUUGUUGGCUCCUGAUUGGCUGGAAACACUCACCUGAACACAGACAGCACAGAGCAGCAGCUGGGAGGAAAAGCAUUUUGUGCAGUGGUGUUUCCUCUGGUGAACCUGGGGAGAAGUGGCGCUCUGAUGCAGCUGAGGCCAAACAAGGACGAGCUGUGAGAUCAGACGAGGGCCACGUGGUUUCUAACAGGUCCUCAAAGCUCCCAUCAGCCCCUGCGGCCCACAGAUAAGACUGCUGCUGCUG
ensembl:lncRNA